AUGAUGGGGAGGGGAGACGCUGAGGAGAGCAGUCAGGGCGGGACACUGCCUCCGGCUCCGAUGCUGUUGCUUCUUGCCCGCCUCUCUGCCUCUAGUAGUUUUCUUUCUCUCCCCCUCUUCUCGCUCUGUCUCUCUGUGCCCCACUCUCUCAUUCUCCACUUUGGUCUCUUGGUUCCAGAAAAGCCCCUCCCCCGGGAGGGCCCAGGAAUUAUGGCGAGGCUCCUGGGGUGUGCCGUGGCCGUGGCCCUCAUCCUCAGUGUGGCUUCCACUGUCUUUCUGUAUCACUGGCAGCAGAAGAACCGGCUGGAGAUGGAUGGGGGCGGGACUGCCCUGCCUCUCUCCCAGGAGCCAGAACCUUCUCCCAGCAGGCAGAGCCACCUUGCACUUAAGAACAUCCAGAUUCUUGGCCUAGAGCUGGAGAAGCAGCAGCUACAGCAGGAAGAGGAUGAACUGCAGAAGCUGCCCCCACAGCCCCCCUACUACGAUCUGGGGGCCUCCCCCUCCUACCACCCCUUGGCCUUUGUCUCCACAGCCUCACCACGCUCCCUCUCGGCUGGAAGGGCCAAAGAGAAUGCAUCUCAAGAUGCCAAACCUUGCCCCUGGGAGGCAGCGUUCCUAUCCCGGGUGCUCAGCCCAGAGGACCAACCCGGCCCCCACCUUCCAAUUCCAUGCAGGGGCCUUCCCUCCCCAGGCUCUGCUCAUGGUGGAUUGACAGAAGGCUCAAAUGAGUUGGAGGCUUCAGGACUCAAGACCACUUGGGAGGAAGAGCAGAGUGAGCCACUUUUCUUCCCCCAGCCAUGGGCAGGAAGGGUUAGCUGAUGGGCGCACUCUGAGUCUUGGACACAGAGGCCGUGAGAUGAGGGCACCAGGGUGGCUGGACACUUGUGAGAACGGCCUGUGGGGUGGUACACGGAGGUCACCUCCAGCAUCCCAGGGAGGCGCCGGUGUUGCCAAGACUGGUGUAAUUCCUUUCGGCUUACAGAGCAAUUACGGGGCCUGGAGAGGAUUUAUUCCCAGCACUCGGGUUUGUUGGCGGUGCAGCUUGUAUACAAGUCACAUUAUUGACGUUGUCAUCAAUUCUCCUUCCCAACAAGUAGUGAGAGGGAGCCAAGAAGAGAGCAUGCACCGUUCACUGAGGCAGGGCUCUGGAGGGAAGCCUGCAGGGGGCCCCAGGGACCAACAAGUAGAGACUCCCCCUUCCAAGCCUACUGGCCCCAGCCUGGGUGGGCCAGGUCCCAUGCUGCCCACACACUCAAGGGCAUUCAGCAAGGGUGUGACGCAUCUCUCAAUUUCUAUCGAGGUUUCUGGGCUAGGAGUCCACUCAGACAGCAGGUACCACUUGAAAGGCUGGCUGGCUUGGGGCUAGAUCUUGGGGAGGACUUCCAGAGGCUCCAAGGUAGAUGCCUAGAAGAAGUGGGAGGAGGGAGUGCUGC
rnacentral:lncRNA from 1 species